rnacentral:rRNA from 1 species
UAAUUGAAGAGUUUGAUCAUGGCUCAGAUUGAACGCUGGCGGCAGGCCUAACACAUGCAAGUCGAGCGGUAACAGGGGAAGCUUGCUUCUCGCUGACGAGCGGCGGACGGGUGAGUAAUGUAUGGGGAUCUGCCCGAUAGAGGGGGAUAACCACUGGAAACGGUGGCUAAUACCGCAUAAUCUCUUAGGAGCAAAGCAGGGGAACUUCGGUCCUUGCGCUAUCGGAUGAACCCAUAUGGGAUUAGCUAGUAGGUGGGGUAAUGGCUCACCUAGGCGACGAUCCCUAGCUGGUCUGAGAGGAUGAUCAGCCACACUGGGACUGAGACACGGCCCAGACUCCUACGGGAGGCAGCAGUGGGGAAUAUUGCACAAUGGGCGCAAGCCUGAUGCAGCCAUGCCGCGUGUAUGAAGAAGGCCUUAGGGUUGUAAAGUACUUUCAGUCGGGAGGAAGGCGUUGAUGCUAAUAUCAUCAACGAUUGACGUUACCGACAGAAGAAGCACCGGCUAACUCCGUGCCAGCAGCCGCGGUAAUACGGAGGGUGCAA